AAGCCAGCAUACCUACAGAGCAGCGAUCCUCAAAUGGCAAGCUGAUCUGCAUCAGUAGACAACUGAGUCUCUGUCAACAACAAUUCCAGGAGAAGCAUGCAUUCCUUACAGUAUUCUGAGAGGAUGCUGGCAAAACAAACCAGUACAAUCCAAAACUUGCCAAGAAUGUUGGUAGUUGGACCUGCAAGAGCCGACACUGCCAUACACCACAAGCAUUCCUGACCAUAUGGCAUGGUUAGGAUUUCACCACACUCUCAGGGGAAGGAAAACAGAUAGCUGCCUCCCACUGGAACCAGAGACUAAAACCCAGGAGCGCUUGGAUUUAAACUUGGAAGCAAGCAACCAUUAAUCAUAAAGCUACCAGUCAAGUGCUGGGUAUGAAUGUCAAGUGUUCCAACUUGAGACUCAAGGUUAUCGUGGAGGGGUCUGUCUCCAAGGUCUCGGCAGUUUACAUACCCUGUACACGUACACUGUACAUUGUAUAGUACCUACAUACCACUGGUAAAUUGACCAAAAAUGACACUCCAUGUGACGAAGUCUGCUGUUUAGUGUCUGUCUGAUUUGCUUACAAGUUAACAAGAAUGGGCCAUGCAUCUGCUUGUUUUGAAAAUGAUAAUUUUCAGAGAUACCGGUACUAAAUCCUAAUUUGAUUUUACCUGUAGACUGUUCAAGUCUGAUACACGUGUGGGUUAAAAAUGCCAGGUAAAACCUAAAAUCUCAGAAAAUUACAUUCCCUGUGCUUCCUUACAAUGAAGUGAAAAAAAGAGAUGAGAGCUGAUGUACUAGUACUGUUGUUGGGCAUUAUUCCCUGUAGUUAAAUGACAUUUUGAUCAAUUGAGAAACAGGUCCUAUUGUACACAACAAAUUACACCCCUGUUGUUGACAAUAAAAAUGAGUAAACAGUUGCUCAUAAUGCAUGUCGCAUAAUUUAUGGUCAUUGAUCAAUUUCAUACGGUGAUUCAUAGAGUCUUUUGAAUGAGAAUAAAAAGGUUUAAGUCGUACCUUUCAAGAACCAAGGUUAUUGAUUUAUUCAUGUGAAUUUCCCCUGCUUCUGUGCAAGAAAUAUGACCUGAAAUACAAGCAAUGUACGCACAAAACAAGAAUGACGGGGUGUAGGAUCAUCACCCAAUAUCAAAUUUGCCGAUCUACAAUACACACAUUUGUAAAUUCGCCUACGGUACAUGACAUUUGUGAUACUUCUCAAGGUAACGCAGGGAGGUGUCCCAACAAUAGGCAAGGUCAAAGUAUCUUUCAGGAACAGGUUUGCAUUGAAAUCCAGCUGUUGUGCUCUUUGUUGUGUGACUAAAUUGAUCCUGUUUUGUCGGGUACAGUUAGGUGAUUUUAAACAGGUUGUUUUUACCAAAACGGGAUUCAAUUACCGUACAUUAUUGAAAUGCUUCAAAGAAUCCUUAAAUGUGGGUGACAGAGUUUUUGUCUGGAUAUCAAAAAUGCUUAGUGUAAAGCAUGCACAAUCCAAAUGUAGGCAUUCACCUGAACAUGUACAUGGCUAUAUAUUGGUACAUCUUUGUCCAAUUCUACAUACAUGUACACGCAUGUAUAUGUACAGUACAUGUAUAAUUAACCAACGUGGUGCACGGUAUGCCUAGGUGUUUAUAGUUUGAUAAUGGUGCUAGUUACAGCACCUUUCUUUGAACCAAAAUGGCUCAAAAAUUACAACGUACAGUAUGUGUGCAGUGUUACUGUACCUCAGAAAGACUUUUCACCAUCACUGUUCUAAGACAUAUCCCACAAAAUUUGAAUAAACAUUUUUAUAUUUGGGGACGGAAUGCCACCAAAAUUACUGGUAUAAUUGGUUAGUAACAGUGAAUCUGACAUUUUUCUUCUAUGGGAUAUUGGAUUUCUGUUCAAAAAGUCCCCUCCAUCAAUUUUUCUUUUUCUGUUAGAACACAAAUCACCAGCAGUGGAAAUCUGUAAAUAUCUCAUGUUAUAAAGCAUAGCAUACAGAUUGUGCUUUACAAUCAUAAUUGCAUAUUACAGCUGUGUGUGUAUACCGUGUAGAGUAUUGAUUUGAAUGUCAGACCCACAAUGUACAGCACAUCUGCAAAUGAGCUUGCAUCGUUUCUGAAACAAUAAAACAAAUCAUGGCAAAAGACAGCAAACUUUUCAAGGAAUGUGGACAAUAUCACACAUACGUGUACACAUCGAACUGGCAUGAGUACAUGUACAUUGAAUUUUACAAUGCUCACAGCUGCACUCAACCUCUCUUGUAAAGUUUUCCAAAGCAGUGAAAUGUAAAUGUUGUCCUUCAACAAAUUUAACUGCUAAAUGUCAACAACCCGUGUUUACUUUGUUGAUUCAUGCCAAACAAACAUUUGCAGCUUAUUUAGUCCUACAAUGCAGGCAUGGUUUAUAAUGAUAACAACAAAUUAGGUCACCCUAGGUGAUGUCUCUUGUACUAGUGCAACAUACCGGUACAUGUAACAGCACAUAUUGUACAUGUGAUGGUUAGUAGUCGAAAAGCUGCAUACUUUCUGCAAUUUUCAGGUAUUGAGUCUCCGGUUUCAUGCCAGGAAAAUCAAAGACUCUUGUGAGCAAGUCCUUUGAAGAGAUUUAGGAUCUUCUGAAAACCCCCAUUCCAAGAAGUUGACCAUCUUCUGUUUGUUUGAAUAUAAGAUUGCAAGGUGUGUGUUGUUUGGCAAUAAAUUGGCAUUGGUAAGUACAGGAAAACAUCUGCUAUAAGCCUUAAAAUGCCAAAAAAUGAUCAUGUUGUGCAAUGCACAAAGCCAUUUUAACAUCUGCACAAAUGCACCUGUACCUAGAAUGUCUAUAACAUCAUUAACAUGAGUAUGCACGUAUGCAAGCCACCUUUUUUCCAGGAGCGUUUUCAGAAAGAAAAAAAACCAUUUGUUUAUCAUAAUAGUGUGUUUGUCACAGGUCUGCAACUUGUAACAUGCAUUUACAUGUAACAUAUUUAACUUUAUCAAGGAAAACAAGAAAACAAGCGUUGGAGACAAACCAUA